rnacentral:lncRNA from 1 species
UGGGCCCGCGCCGCGAGCUGCAGUUCCGGGCUGCGCUCUGGCGCGGGAUUCAAGGUGUGUUCGGCGAGUCCUUGUGUAGGGGCGGCUGGGCGGGGGAGAGUCCUGAGUUUGUACUGGAAUCUGCAGCUGAGAUUAGCCAGACCGGGCCCGCCCAGAGGAGGGAUUGGAAGCUGGUGCACUUGACAUUCGAAGAGCGCGAAGGGGAAACGACGCUGCCUCACACCCAGUGCUAGGAGAGUGCGGGUACGGCCCUUCCACAUUUUUCGCUGGCCUGGGGCUCCCAGAUUUCACGAUGCUUCCCUCUAUCCCGCCUCAUUGACCCCUGGACAACCCUGAAAUAUCAUCGUCAGCAUUAUUUCAUCGGAAAGAAGGGCAGCAAGAGAGGCCGGAUGAUUCUCCCAAGGCCACACAGCUAAUUAGUGGGCAGAGCCCAGUCUAGAAGCCAUCUCACCAUCUGACACCUUUCGACAAAGUGCAAAACGCGGUGGUGAGAGACGAGGACACAGACAUUAAGAUUCCGCUCCAGCCCUAGAGGCACUGAGAAUCAGAACGUGAACUACUCUUCACUCCAGGCAGAAAGCAAGAGGCUUGGAUGAGUUUUAGGAAACCAGCACAGUGUCGGGCACAGAGCGCUCAAUGAAUAGAUGUGUAACAACAAAGUAGGGAUCCAACAGAGGAAGAAAUAAUUUAUUGUAAGGUGGCCUUUGGGAAAGCUCUCAGAAAGGUGGAUGAAUCACUUAAGAGGAAUGGACUCCAGCAGCAUCACAGAAUCAAAGCAACACCUAAGGAAUUCACUGUUUCUUCACAUACUUUGAACUGUGAAAACAAGAGUCAUCAUAAUAGCUGCAGUUUACUCAGUACCUACCAGGUACUGUCACCUAUACUGUCUCUAAAGCCCCUACAACCCUGAGCUAAGGAUGAUCAUAUCCCCAACUGCAGAUGAUGACACUGAAGCUCAACGGCUACUCAACUUGCCUGGAAUCCUACAGCAAGAGGAGGAGAAGAAACAGGCUUACGCUGAGCGAAUCCAAUGUGCAGACAGACACACAGGGAAGGUGACCAUUUGAAGACGGAGGCAGAAACUGAAGUUGUGCAACUGCAAACCAAGAAAUGCCAUGGAUUGCCAACAACCACCAGGAACUAGAAGAGGCAAGGUAGGAUUCUCCCCUAGAGCCUUCAGGAAGAGCACAACCCUGCUGACACCUUAAUUUUGAACUUCUAGCUUCCUUAACUGCGAGAGAAUAAACCUCUGUUGUUUUAAGUCAGCAGUUUGUGUUACUUUGACCACAGCCCUACAAAAUAAAUAUACCACAGGAUGAAAUUUCAUUCAGUAAUAAAAAGAAUGAAGUACUGAAACAUGCUAUAGCAUGGAAGAAUCUUCAGUACAUUAUCCUAAGUUAAAGCAGUCAGUCACAAAAGACUACACAUUGUAUGAUUCCUUUUACACAAAACACCCAGAUCUCGAAAGACAGAAAUAUUAGUGGUUGCCUAGGGCUGGGGUCUCAGGGGAGUCAGGGAUAGGGACUGACUUCUAAUUGGUAUGGGUUUCUUUUUGGGGUGAUAAAAAUGUUCUAAAAUUAGACUACGGUGAUGUUUGCACGACUCUAUGAAUAUACUAAAAUCAUUAAAUUGUACACUUUGAAGAAUUGUAUGGUGUGUGAAUUACUUCUCAAUAAAGCCAUUAAAAAAUGA